rnacentral:rRNA from 1 species
UACGGAGGGUGCAAGCGUUGUCCGGAUUUAUUGGGCGUAAAGAGCUCGUAGGCGGCUCGUCGCGUCGACCGUGAAAACCCGCGGCUUAACUGCGGGCUUGCGGUUGAUACGGCGGGCUAGAGUUCGGUAGGGGAGACUGGAAUUCCUGGUGUAGCGGUGAAAUGCGCAGAUAUCAGGAGGAACACCGGUGGCGAAGGCGGGUCUCUGGGCCGAUACUGACGCUGAGGAGCGAAGCGUGGGGAGCGAACAGG